UACGUAGGGUGCAAGCGUUGUCCGGAAUUAUUGGGCGUAAAGAGCUCGUAGGCGGUUUGUUGCGUCGGCUGUGAAAUCCCGAGGCUCAACCUCGGGUCUGCAGUCGAUACGAGCAAACUAGAGUGUUGCAGGGGAGACUGGAAUUCCUGGUGUAGCGGUGAAAUGCGCAGAUAUCAGGAGGAACACCGGUGGCGAGGGCGGGUCUCUGGGCAACAACUGACGCUGAGGAGCGAAAGUGUGGGGAGCGAACAGG
rnacentral:rRNA from 1 species